GACGAACGCUGGCGGCGUGCUUAACACAUGCAAGUCGAGCGGUAAGGCCCUUUCGGGGGUACACGAGCGGCGAACGGGUGAGUAACACGUGGGUGACCUGCCCUCAGCUCUGGGAUAAGCCUGGGAAACUGGGUCUAAUACUGGAUAUGACUCCACGGUGCAUGUCGUGGGGUGGAAAGCCUUGUGCGGCUGAGGAUGGGCCCGCGGCCUAUCAGCUUGUUGGUGGGGUGANGGCCUACCAAGGCGACGACGGGUAGCCGGCCUGAGAGGGCGACCGGCCACACUGGGACUGAGACACGGCCCAGACUCCUACGGGAGGCAGCAGUGGGGAAUCUUGCGCAAUGGGCGAAAGCCUGACGCAGCGACGCCGCGUGAGGGAUGACGGCCUCGG
rnacentral:rRNA from 1 species